ACGCAGCUAACGCAAUAAGUAGACCGCCUGGGGAGUACGGCCGCAAGGUUAAAACUCAAAUGAAUUGACGGGGGCCCGCACAAGCGGUGGAGCAUGUGGUUUAAUUCGAUGCAACGCGAAGAACCUUACCUGGUCUUGACAUAUCUAGAAUCCUGCAGAGAUGCGGGAGUGCCUUCGGGAAUUAGAAUACAGGUGCUGCAUGGCUGUCGUCAGCUCGUGUCGUGAGAUGUUGGGUUAAGUCCCGCAACGAGCGCAACCCUUGUCCUUAGUUACCAGCGGGUUAAGCCGGGAACUCUAAGGAUACUGCCAGUGACAAACUGGAGGAAGGCGGGGACGACGUCAAGUCAUCAUGGCCCUUACGACCAGGGCUACACACGUGCUACAAUGGUAGGUACAGAGGGCAGCUACACAGCGAUGUGAUGCGAAUCUCAAAAAGCCUAUCGUAGUCCAGAUUGGAGUCUGCAACUCGACUCCAUGAAGUAGGAAUCGCUAGUAAUCGCGGAUCAGAAUGCCGCGGUGAUACGUUCCCGGGCCUUGCACUCACCGCCCA
rnacentral:rRNA from 1 species